GAGGGUAUAGCUCAGUGGUAGAGCACGUGCUUAGCAUGCACAAGGUCCUGGGUUCAAUCCCCAGUGCCUCCA
rnacentral:tRNA from 1 species